GCUCCAGUGGCGCAAUUGGUUAGUGCAUGGUGCUGAUAUGCCAGCCUGAGCUGCAGCGAUGCCGAGGUCGUGAGUUCAAAUCUCACCUGGAGUG
rnacentral:tRNA from 1 species